rnacentral:rRNA from 1 species
CCGGCGGCGUGGAUUAGGCAUGCAAGUCGAGCGAGAAAGCCACCUUCGGGUGGUGAGUAAAGCGGCGAACUGGUGAGUAACAGGUGGGUAACGUGCCCCAGAGUGGGGGAUAACACGAGGAAACUCGGGCUAAUACCGCAUACGGCCGUAGUGACUCAGGUCCUAACGGUUAAAGACUUCGGGUCGCUUUUGGGAUCGGCCCGCCCCCGAUUAGCUUGUUGGUGAGGUAACGGCUCACCAAGGCUCCGAUCGGUAGCUGGUCUGAGAGGAUGGUCAGCCACACUGGAACUGAGAUACGGUCCAGACUCCUACGGGGGGCAGCAGUCUAGAGGCUUCGGCAAUGGGGGAAACCCUGACCGAGCGACGCCGCGUGCGGGAUUGAAGGCCUUCGGGUCGUAAACCGCUGUCAGGAGGGAAGAAUGCCCCGAUGGUGAAUCGGGGAGAGACGGUACCUCCAGAGGAAGCCCCGGCUAACUCCGUGCCAGCAGCCGCGGUAAUACGGAGGGGGCAAGCGUUGUUCGGAUUUACUGGGCGUAAAGGGUGUGUAGGCGGCCGCGCAAGUCU